UACGUAGGUGGCGAGCGUUGUCCGGAUUUACUGGGCGUAAAGGGAGCGUAGGCGGACUUUUAAGUGAGAUGUGAAAUACUCGGGCUCAACCCGGGGGCUGCAUUUCAAACUGGGAGUCUAGAGUGCAGGAGAGGAGAGUGGAAUUCCUAGUGUAGCGGUGAAAUGCGUAGAGAUUAGGAAGAACACCAGUGGCGAAGGCGACUCUCUGGACUGUAACUGACGCUGAGGCUCGAAAGCGUGGGGAGCAAACAGGAUUAGAUACC
rnacentral:rRNA from 1 species